GAAGGAACUCUUGGCAUAAUAACUGAGAUCACUCUUAGACUUCAGAAACUUCCAGAGUAUUCGGUGGUUGCAAUGUGUAAUUUUCCUUCUAUUAAAGAUGCAGCAGAUGUUGCUAUUGCAACAAUGUUGUCUGGUAUACAGGUAUCAAGAAUGGAGUUGAUGGACGAGGUUCAAGUGAGAGCUAUCAACAAUGCGGGCAGCGGGAUAAUCCUUCCGUCGAU
rnacentral:misc_RNA from 1 species